GUUAAGGGGUUGCGAACACCCCGUGAGGCUUAGGCCUAAGUUUCGCAUCCAACAACCUUAAAUUCUUACAAAGGAAGGAUGCGUUAUG
rfam:Gamma proteobacterium IMCC1989 ctg_248, whole genome shotgun sequence.